CCGGCUAACUCCGUGCCAGCAGCCGCGGUAAUACGGAGGGUGCGAGCGUUAAUCGGAAUAACUGGGCGUAAAGGGUGCGUAGGUGGUUGUUUAAGUUAUCUGUGAAAUUCCUGGGCUUAACCUGGGCCGGUCAGAUAAGACUGGACAACUCGAGUAUGGGAGAGGGUAGUGGAAUUUCCGGUGUAGCGGUGAAAUGCGUAGAGAUCGGAAGGAACACCAGUGGCGAAGGCGGCUACCUGGCCUAAUACUGACACUGAGGCACGAAAGCGUGGGGAGCAAACAGGAUUAGAUACCCUGGUAGUCCACGCCGUAAACGAUGUCAACUAGCUGUUGGA
rnacentral:rRNA from 1 species